rnacentral:rRNA from 1 species
ACACCCGUUCCCAUGCCGAACACGAAGGUUAAGCUUCAAAGCGCUGAUGGUACUGCAGGGGAGGCCCUGUGGAAGAGUAAGUCGUUGCCAGAU